rnacentral:rRNA from 1 species
UUAGAGUUUGAUCCUGGCUCAGAGCGAACGCUGGCGGCAGGCUUAACACAUGCAAGUCGAACGGUCCUUCGGGAUAGUGGCGGACGGGUGAGUAACACGUGGGAACGUACCCUUAGGUUCGGAACAACACAGGGAAACUUGUGCUAAUACCGGAUAAGCCCUUCGGGGGAAAGAUUUAUCGCCUUUGGAGCGGCCCGCGUCUGAUUAGCUUGUUGGUGAGGUAAUGGCUCACCAAGGCUACGAUCAGUAGCUGGUCUGAGAGGAUGGCCAGCCACACUGGGACUGAGACACGGCCCAGACUCCUACGGGAGGCAGCAGUGGGGAAUCUUGCGCAAUGGGCGAAAGCCUGACGCAGCCAUGCCGCGUGGAUGAUGAAGGUCUUAGGAUUGUAAAAUCCUUUCACCGGGGACGAUAAUGACGGUACCCGGAGAAGAAGCCCCGGCUAACUUCGUGCCAGCAGCCGCGGUAAUACGAAGGGGGCUAGCGUUGCUCGGAAUUACUGGGCGUAAAGGGCGCGUAGGCGGACAGUUAAGUUGGGGGUGAAAGCCCGGGGCUCAACCUCGGAAAUGCCAUCAAUACUGGCUGUCUUGAGUACGGGAGAGGUGAGUGGAACUCCGAGUGUAGAGGUGAAAUUCGUAGAUAUUCGGAAGAACCACCCCAGUGGCGAAGGCGACUCACUGGCCCGUUACU